CUGGAUGCUAGUGCACAGUGUGCAAAUACAACAGUGGAAGGGUGGAGAAGGAAUAUAACUUUUUUAAAAAUUAUUUUUCCCCUUAUGAAGUGGUUGGAGUCCCUUGCAGAGAGAGAGGGCUGGUACUGUGCCUGGCUUCUAGAAUCAUAUUCAGAAACCUAGGUUGUUCUUCUUGAUUUGCCAUAAAGACAUGGCUCUGCUGUGCUAGUCCAUCUUGAUGUCAAUGAUUCAGACUCUAGUUAGGGAAGGGCACUGAAAUCAGAAGACAGAUUUAAGGCUUUGAUUUUUUUUUUUUUUUUUCUCUCUCUCUCCUCAGAGUCCUCCAAGAAAUGUAGAUCCAGUCUGUAGUGGUCUCUUUCAGCUUUGACCAGCCACGCUCCACAGUUUUAUGAUGUUUCCUUGGUGGUGUCAUUUUGGCUCUUUCUGCCAGGCUCCUAGAGAUGCUGCCAGCCCCCCUGCGGCUGCCUGCGUGAACCGGUGGAGGAUGGACGUGGCCGGCAUCAGCUGGGCAAGGGACCUUCGCCAGGUGCUGGGAUGCUACCGCCCUGAAGACAGGCAUUACAAAUGUGAGCGGAGCGUGCGUUCCAGGCCCUGGGCUGCAGGACCCCUUGCCUGGGAGCGCACUGCAGGACGGGCAAGUGGUGGCUGCUGCAGCUCAUCCCGUUGACUUCUCUGUGACACGUUACGCAGAAGAGCUUCCCCUCGCUUCUUGGGAGUGACCGUCCUGUGUACCUGCACGCAGCUGCACAGUUCCUGCCUGCUGGGGGUGGGUGGUGGGUUGUGACCCCGCUCCCCAGCAAGACUGCUGAGCACAGAGCGGUGCAGCCCUGCUCCUGGGACAUGCCAGCUGGGGGACUCUUCUCUGGAGACCCAGGUUCAGCCUGUGAGCCAUCUGCACAGACAGCUCUUGCGCUAGCAGCGGAGGGCUCAGGACACCUCUUGCCACAGAUGCGACUCUAGCCUGCUGGGACAGGAGCGCUCCAGCUGCAGGACGUGUAGAGCAGCAGGGAUGGGGAUGCUCUGCGUUGACUGGUGAGCCCCACGCUGCUGGUGCGGACU
rnacentral:lncRNA from 1 species